GGCAGUGUGUCCGACUGAUAAGGUGCGCGCCUGCAAAGCGUUGCUAUGGCGGUUUAAAUCCGUCCACUGCCU
rnacentral:tRNA from 1 species